rnacentral:rRNA from 1 species
CCUACGGGAGGCAGCAGUGGGGAAUCUUGCGCAAUGGACGAAAGUCUGACGCAGCCAUGCCGCGUGAAUGAUGAAGGUCUUAGGAUUGUAAAGUUCUUUAGCCUGUGACGAUGAUGACGGUAACAGGAGAAUAAGCCCCGGCUAACUUCGUGCCAGCAGCCGCGGUAAUACGAAGGGGGCUAGCGUUGUUCGGAAUUACUGGGCGUAAAGCGCGCGUAGGCGGUUAUGCAAGCCAGAGGUGAAAUGCCUGAGCUCAACUUAGGAAUUGCCUUUGGAACUGCAUGGCUUUGAGGACGAGAGAGGUGAGUGGAAUUCCCAGUGUAGAGGUGAAAUUCGUAGAUAUUGGGAAGAACACCGGUGGCGAAGGCGGCUCACUGGCUCGUUUCUGACGCUGUAGCGCGAAAGCGUGGGGAUCAAACAGGAUUAGAUACCCUGGUAGUCCACGCUGUAAACGAUGAGUGCUAGGCGUUGGCACGCUUGCGUGUCAGUGCGCNGCUACGCGUGAGACACUCCGCCGUCGGGGAGGUACGGUCGGCGAAGAAGUUAAAACUAACGAAAGAAAGUUAGUACGGCGUGAGACGUAGCCGAACGGACGACGACGAGGGGAGGAGGG